rnacentral:rRNA from 1 species
AAACCAGCACCUCAAGUGGUCAGGAUGAUUAUUGGGCCUAAAGCAUCCGUAGCCUGCUCUGUAAGUUUUCGGUUAAAUCUGUACGCUCAACGUACAGGCUGCCGGGAAUACUGCAGAGCUAGGGAGUGGGAGAGAUAGACGGUACUCGGGAGGAAGUGGUAAAAUGCUUUGAUCUCUCGAUGACCACCUGUGGCGAAGGCGGUCUACCAGAACACGUCCGACGGUGAGGGAUGAAAGCUGGGGGAGCAAACCGGAUUAGAAACCCGAGUAGUCC